GACGCUGGAGUAACACAUCAUAUAUGCUACUCACUUAUAAAAUAAAGGUCUUUGUUAACGAGUUGUCUCAAGGGCACUCUUUAACCAUUACAAAAUAAAUAAUUAUUCUUCAAAAAAUUCAAAUGUUUCGAUUUUCAAUGCAUUGAUUACAUGCAUUUUUCAUACUAAUAUUUACUACUUAUGGUCCUUAAAAAGUGUUACGGAGGCACUCAUUAACAUUUUUCAUAAAAUAAAAUGAAUCAAUUGUAGCUCCAGUAAGUCUCUUUUUCCUUCCUUUCUAACUAUCAUUUCCUCGUUCCGCCAUGUACCAUCAAUAACGUUUAUAUCUUUCAAAUCUACAAUUCAAAAAUGACUUGUGUUAGAUUGGAGAGUGAAAUAGUAAAACACAAAUAAAUCAAAAGCAAGAAGUUGCAUAAUGCUCAUAUGACCAUAUCCAACUAUGAACAAGGGAAUAAGUAAGCUUCAACAAUGAUGUGCCAUGAAUAGAGCUUGUACCACAAACAACACAAUGAAUGCAUAUAAAAAACUAUAUUCUAUAGCAUAGCAGC
rnacentral:lncRNA from 1 species